CAAACCUGGUCUAAAUUAAUUGUAUAUAAAAUAUUUAUAUAUAUAUAAAAUGAUUGUUUAAAUGAAAGCCUGGUGAGUCAUAUUUUUGUGUGUGGGCUAUUAACAGGUGGGAAUCAGAAAAUAUACAGGAGUAAAUACAUGCUUUAUCUCUGUGUGAGGAGUCCCAGGACUAAGCAUGGACUGGGCUCUUCCCUCUCGUUUCCUCGCUUUAGGUAUCGAUUGAGCUGUGCAGUAUUACAGAAACACUUGAAUCUCAGGUGGCAGGAAUGUGUACAAUUGAUCUCUUCCACUGUGGCUCCCAGCAGUGGCUUUUUGCUCCACAACACAGAGCACCACAGGAAGAGCUGGGCGAACACACUGAAACACAAUCGCUACAGACUAAGAGGGGCUGUCCCAGUCUGCCCUGUUCACUGUCACAAUUUAUUGUAGUGCUGUGAGUCUCAUCCACUGCUCUGCAGCUAUACACUGACAAUGUGCUUCCAGGGUGGUGAGAUUAUCUACUUUAUAUUAUAAACACACUCAGAUGUGCUGCAUCUUCACAGCUUCACACUAAAAUGUUAAGAAUAAAUAAAAAUAUGCAGGAGUGUGUUUGUCCUAGACAAGCUGAUUUAUUCUUAACAUUUUAUCUAAUGUGUUUUUAUUUUAGUGUUGGGUAUUUUUUCCCUCGUCUGAGCUAAAUGGCUUGAUGGCCUUUUGCUGCAGUGUCUGGAGAGGAUGGGAACCAUCAGCAAAGAAGCAUUACUCUCUUUAGCUUCCUUCAGUGUGCAGAUCAGGUGGAGAUUACGCUGCACAGAGGCGAUCUUGGGAAGCUGGACCCCCCUCCCACAUCUUCAGCCUUGUGCUGUCAGCCCUCCUGAGUUGAUACAAACCGUAGCCUGGGGCCCCGGCCUGGACUCCCCACUGAGGUUCUGGCCCACCGCUGGGAGAUCAAAGACCCACAGAGAACAAUGCCAUUUCAUGCCGGUUUUAUCUUCCUGUGGUUCUCUUCGUGCUUCCUGUAGAAAAUGGAGUCUGUCUGCAGCGUGUACACAGCUGGUUGGAAGACAAGACCUCCAGAUUUGUCAAAGCAUGCUAGUGAGAUGGAAAGAUAUUCUACAGCCGGGGAGAUAUUGA
rnacentral:lncRNA from 15 species